rnacentral:tRNA from 1 species
GCCCCAGUAGCUCAGCGGCAAACUUUAUCGCUCAAGAGCGUUACCUUGGUAAGGUAAAGGUCGAGGGUUCAAAUGUCCCAGAGGAAAAUCAGAAAUUCCUCAGGAUUUGUAAGUCCCUCCUGGGGCU